rnacentral:rRNA from 1 species
GACGAACGCUGGCGGCGUGCCUAAUACAUGCAAGUUGAGCGAUGAAGAUUGGUGCUUGCACCAAUUUGAAGAGCAGCGAACGGGUGAGUAACGCGUGGGGAAUCUGCCUUUGAGCGGGGGACAACAUUUGGAAACGAAUGCUAAUACCGCAUAACAACUUUAAACAUAAGUUUUAAGUUUGAAAGAUGCAAUUGCAUCACUCAAAGAUGAUCCCGCGUUGUAUUAGCUAGUUGGUGAGGUAAAGGCUCACCAAGGCGAUGAUACAUAGCCGACCUGAGAGGGUGAUCGGUCACAUUGGGACUGAGACACGGCCCAAACUCCUACGGGAGGCAGCAGUAGGGAAUCUUCGGCAAUGGACGAAAGUCUGACCGAGCAACGCCGCGUGAGUGAAGAAGGUUUUCGGAUCGUAAAACUCUGUUGGUAGAGAAGAACGUUGGUGAGAGUGGAAAGCUCAUCAAGUGACGGUAACUACCCAGAAAGGGACGGCUAACUACGUG